rnacentral:rRNA from 1 species
AUUGAACGCUGGCGGCAGGCCUAACACAUGCAAGUCGGACGGUAGCACAGAGGAGCUUGCUCCUUGGGUGACGAGUGGCGGACGGGUGAGUAAUGUCUGGGGAUCUGCCCGAUAGAGGGGGAUAACCACUGGAAACGGUGGCUAAUACCGCAUAACGUCGCAAGACCAAAGAGGGGGACCUUCGGGCCUCGCACUAUCGGAUGAACCCAGAUGGGAUUAGCUAGUAGGCGGGGUAAUGGCCCACCUAGGCGACGAUCCCUAGCUGGUCUGAGAGGAUGACCAGCCACACUGGAACUGAGACACGGUCCAGACUCCUACGGGAGGCAGCAGUGGGGAAUAUUGCACAAUGGGCGCAAGCCUGAUGCAGCCAUGCCGCGUGUAUGAAGAAGGCCUUCGGGUUGUAAAGUACUUUCAGCGGGGAGGAAGGCGAUGCGGUUAAUAACCGCAUCGAUUGACGUUACCCGCAGAAGAAGCACCGGCUAACUCCGUGCCAGCCGCCGCGGUAA